rnacentral:rRNA from 1 species
UACAGAGGGUGCGAGCGUUAAUCGGAGUUACUGGGCGUAAAGGGCGCGUAGGCGGUGAGAUGGGUGUGAUGUGAAAGCCCUGGGCUUAACCUAGGAAGUGCAUCGCAAACUAUCUGACUGGAGUAUAUGAGAGGGCGGCGGAAUUUCCGGUGUAGCGGUGAAAUGCGUAGAGAUCGGAAGGAACGUCGAUGGCGAAGGCAGCUGCCUGGCAUAAUACUGACGCUCAUGUGCGAAAGCGUGGGGAGCAAACAGG